GUCUUUAUAGUUUAAAAAAAACCUUGAUCUUGUAAAUCAAAAUUUGUUCAUCAUAUAGACU
rnacentral:tRNA from 1 species